rnacentral:rRNA from 1 species
AGCGAACGCUGGCGGCAGGCUUAACACAUGCAAGUCGAGCGCCCCGCAAGGGGAGCGGCAGACGGGUGAGUAACACGAGGGAACGUGCCUUUUGGUUCGGAACAACCCAGGGAAACUUGGGCUAAUACCGGAUAAGCCCUUACGGGGAAAGAUUUAUCGCCAAAAGAUCGGCCCGCGUCUGAUUAGCUAGUUGGUGGGGCAAUGGCCCACCAAGGCUACGAUCAGUAGCUGGUCUGAGAGGAUGAUCAGCCACAUUGGGACUGAGACACGGCCCAAACUCCUACGGGAGGCAGCAGUGGGGAAUAUUGGACAAUGGGGGCAACCCUGAUCCAGCCAUGCCGCGUGAGUGAUGAAGGCCUUAGGGUUGUAAAGCUCUUUUAGCAGGGAAGAUAAUGACGGUACCUGCAGAAAAAGCCCCGGCUAACUUCGUGCCAGCAGCCGCCGUAA